GACGAAGGGGGCUAGCGUUGUUCGGAAUUACUGGGCGUAAAGCGCGUGUAGGCGGUUGUCCAAGUUGGAUGUGAAAGCCUUGAGCUUAACUCAAGAAAUGCAUUCAGGACUGGAUGACUAGAGGACCGGAGAGGAUAGUGGAAUUCCCAGUGUAGUGGUGAAAUACGUAGAGAUUGGGAAGAACACCAGUGGCGAAGGCGGCUAUCUGGACGGUUUCUGACGCUAAGACGCGAAAGCGUGGGGAG
rnacentral:rRNA from 1 species